CCUACGGGGGGCUGCAGUGGGGAAUUUUGGACAAUGGGGGCAACCCUGAUCCAGCCAUGCCGCGUGCGGGAAGAAGGCCUUCGGGUUGUAAACCGCUUUUGUCAGGAGAGAAAUCUCUUGGGCUAAUACCCUGAGAGGAUGACGGUACCUGAAGAAUAAGCACCGGCUAACUACGUGCCAGCAGCCGCGGUAAUACGUAGGGUGCUAGCGUUAAUCGGAAUUAGUGGGGGCAAAGCUGCAAGAGGGGGGUGAAAGCCCCGGGCUUAACCUGGGAACUGCACGUGUGACUGCACGGCUAGAGUACGGCAGAGGGGGAUGGAAUUCCGCGUGUAGCAGUGAAAUGCGUAGAUAUGCGGAGGAACACCGAUGGCGAAGGCAGUCCCCUGGGCCUGUACUGACGCUCAUGCACGAAAGCGUGGGGAGCAAACAGGAUUAGAUACCCUUGUAGUC
rnacentral:rRNA from 1 species